CUCUACUCUGGGGAAUCAUAGUGUUCUGAAAUAUAGUUGCAUCAUCUUUACACCUCCUGGUUCUUAGGCCGCAUCUAGACCCACUGCUCCAAGUGGUCAAGUCCCCAGUGGAUCUAUCUUCCUACCAAUGAGAUCUCCCUGAGAACUGAGGGGCUAUAACCUCACCAUUCACGACUGCUCUGUCCUCUGCAAAUCUCCUUCCAUUAUUUCAGGUAAUCCCAUGACUGUCUUGUGGAUUAUACUUGGGUUUCUCUUCCCUGUUUCACAAAAUGCCUAAGAGAACUUAAUAGUUAGCUUUCCUGAUGAAAGCAUUAAAAUUCACCCAUUGCAGCAAAAUCUGUCAAAUAAAUUCACACUUAUUUUCUGGAGAAAAAAAGAAAACUACACCUUGUUUACAAAUGAAAUAGUUUCAUUUAAAUGGGAUUUUAGCCAAGGCAGUUAAUUAGUCAAAAGAUCCAUGUUAGUCACACAGUCAUGCAUUGUUUAUUCUAUUUGAUAUGCCUACCAUUGAUGUGUAUUUAAUAUUCUGCAUCCUUCUCAGGAAAUGACAAAUGCCCUGAAUUCUUUGCAAAUAGAAUUGCUAAUGAGAAAGAAAAAGAAAGUUGGUGUUAAUUAAAUGGUGAUUAAAAAUUUAUCUCCUUUAAACCUAAAAAGUGCAGCUUUAAUAAUCGGUUGUCAUAUAAACAAAUACCUUGCACUGAAAUCCCUUGCUGUUUAAGACCUAGAUAAAUACUAAUUUGAGAAACCUAAAUAUCUUUCAGAGGAGCUGAAUACACUCGUUAGCAUUAUGCACAUUCCUGUACUGUUUCUUUGUACAUAGCUGUUGUGCAUGAACCCUUGGGAAGGGGACAUGAGUUGCUUCCCAAAGGGAGCUUGUUCUUGUUCGCAUUAACCAUCACUGUAGUAGACAUAAUUGGACUUCAAGGAAAAGAAUUUCAGUAGGUGGAACCCAAAUGCACUGGUUGAUAUUUAAUACAAGAUAACAGUUCUAUGUAAAUGUGAUUUUCCUUCCAAAAGCAGUGUUUAUUUUCACUUGAGUCAAAAUUAGGCUUCUCUGAUACUCCAUCUUUGUUGGAUAAACAGGGUUGAAAGUGCUUAUUGAGAGAUUAUGUGGGGUCUACACUUGAAAAGUUCUCCCAAUAUGCAGCUUCCCUUUCUCAUCCCAUUCCUUUAUAUUGUACUGUGUUCAUAACUAAUUGUUUCAGAUGAGGUCAGCUUGCCACCUGAUACAGAUCAAAGAUGAUCAAACGCACUCGUCCUGUGAAUACAGAUGCUUGUGUAUACAUGUAUAUAAUAUAUGUGCUUGAUUUCUGCAGUUCACACAGAUGUGUAUUAUCCAGAUAAAGCUGUACAUAUUGUAAAGUUUAUGUUUAAAAAUUAAGUGGUAAUGAUUGUACUGACACAUGGAAAACCCAUUCUAGUUUUUUGAUGGUUUCUGUAGAGAGGACACUAUAUUUUUUUAAUCUCAGUUCUCCGGAGGAUAACAGAGCCCAAGUAGUAUUUGGGUGUUGGUUUUCUUGGCCCCUUAAAAAAUAAGAAUCUGGGUGAAGGGCGUGGAAUAUAUGCUGCUCACAUUCACUUCUGAAGACAAUGCUAAUAAGGACUAUCCAUCAAAACACACAGAUUUCCUAUUUAAACUCCUUAUCCUCUUUCCCACUCUCCUAUAUGUUGUCUGUGUCCAGAAGUGCUCUCGGGGUGGUAUCAGCUGCAGGUGCCUGCCCAGGAGCAUCUCAGAAAAACCGAAUUUGUAGAACUACACCAAGAUCUGGGGGAAAUGGAAGGGAGAUGAGAAAAUGAAAUCUGCAAAGGGGCAGUAAUUUGUAUAAGGGCAUCAAGUCAGAGAGCAUCAGAGAUGGGGCUGGAACCCAAGACUUUUUGGUCCAAUUUCUUACCAUGUCUCAGUUUCUUUCAGGAGAGCGUUUCUGAGUGCCUGCAGAAGAGUCAGAGAGACCCACUAAGCUGGCUUUCUUUGCCUCUUUGCCCUGUGCAGACCCAUGCAUGCCUUUAUGAAUUUGAAUCAAGGUCCUUCAUAAUCUCUCGUUGUCUCAGAGUCUCAGAGAAGAAAAAACUUUUUUCAUUGACCUUUCUCCCAAGAAGGAACAAUGAAAAAUGUGGAUUAAAAUUUCAAACCAAAGACAAAAGCUGGCAACAAUCACUGAAAUCAUAGUUGUAUUUCCUGGGCACCAAGGUUCAACCAAGCAUCUUGAUCAUGUAAUUGCACUUACCUGAGUGCCCAUUCAUUUUGAAAUCCAGUUUAGGAUUAGGGAGUUGUAAAGCGAACAGAAAAUCUAGUCACUUCUUGUAAUGGUUUAGAAGUUUAAUUCCCUAAUACAAAAGAUAAUUAAAGACCAUAAAAGGCAAAUGGACUAAACAGUAAAAAUUAGAAAUGACCAAUGAAAUUGUUUCCAGGAAAUAAAUAUUAAUCUGAUUCCAUGAUCAAACUUAGAAAAAAACAGGGCUCUCCUCAGACUGUUUUGUAACUCUGAAGAAUAUGACUGGUGCUCCUACAGAUGGCCUGGAUGGAUGUGAACCUUUAGAAAAGGUGCUUGGGGAAUGCAGAAGCCACUACACAGGUGAACAAACUCACCCUUCUGAAUUUUUGCACAGGCUGGCUUGGGUCUGCUUCCAACCAGUUCUCCAAACUUUAGCAAAUCCUGCUUCUUUUUGGCUCUGCUUUAUGACAUGCGCUUCAAAAAAGGUAAAAAAAAAAAUUCCUCAAAGGAUUAGAAAAUAGACCGUGAUGUUAAAAAACAAAAUAUUUCCUGAAAUCUUUUUCCUUUGUUUUGUUUUUGGCUUGUGAGGAGCGCUUUCAAUAGUCCAGGGUUUGGGUGGAAGGGGAGGGGGAAAUAGGGAGAACCUUUUAUCGAGUCCCAAGUGCCUACUGUUGUGGCUGGUACAAGCAAGCAUCAAGUUCCCUAGAGAGAAAAUGGGGCAAGGAGAUGACUAAAGGAGCCUAGGUGUAUUUGAGAAGAGAUGGCAGAGUAGAGAGGGUGGAGAGGGAGCUUUUCUUUACUCUGUCCAUCCCAUUCUGGGUAGUGCUGGAAUAUUAGAUUCUGUGCUCAUCACAAGGACAUUGCAUAUAUCGGCACCUGAGUCUGAAAAUAUAAAAAAUACAUCUACAUUGAGUAUAAAGCAGCCUAGAACACAAUCCUCAAAAUAACAAGAUAUAAAUAUGAUUGCUCCCAUUUUACAGAUAGGGAAACUGAGGUUUAAGUACUCAGCCUCAUCAGAAACAGGAGUUAGCCAAUAAAUUUCUAACCUUAGACAUAUUAGACAUAACCUUAGACAUAUUCUUGAAGUGCCUGAUCUCCUCCAGGGAGUUCAGAAUAGAAAUGCGCCCGUGCGUGCAUGCGAGAGUGAGAGAGAGAGAGCAAGAGAGAGAGAGAGGGAGAGAGAGGGAGAGAGAGGGAGAGAGAGGGAGGUUUGAGUUUUGAGGUUACCGGGCUUUCUCUCGAGUGCCAGUGUCUGUGAUGAGGAGCUUCGGCAUUGUCCUAUCGUCCUACCCUUGCCAUCUGGUGGGGGUAUGUCAAGUACUGAGAGGGACCUCACCUCUCUUCAGAGUCCCCUCAGAGACAUGUACGCUGCUGGUGUCUCUCUUCCUUCAUGUGCUUGUACUCAGCAUUUUUUUCUUUUUUUUGCUUCCUGGGGAAUUACUUUCUCUACUUAGCAUGUGCCUAAUCUUAAAUAUCCCUUUCCUAAUCUCUCUUCUUUUUAUCAGUUUAAAUCAGGGCUAAUUCCAUUAAGCAUGUGUACAUAGUGUGCUCUCCUCUGUGUGUAGGGACACACACACACACACACACACACACACACACACACUGCCUUGUGGCCCUCCAUUAAAGCACUCCUAAACAUUGUGACCCAUUUUUAAAGAGGUGAUGUCAUUUGUAAGUCAACUGUUCCUCUUAUUCCGUCUGUACGUUUGCUUAUUUCUGCCAGGCAGACAGAAUGAGGUUCAGAGGUGGGAGAGCGAGUAGAGAAAAGAGUUUUGCCCAAAAGAUUGAGAGCAUUAAGGUAAUCGCAAUGACUGAGGGCCGAUUAUUGAAAUGCUGUUGCUGUUUACUUUCUUGGUCCGUCCUAUUUUUUGAAUUGCUUUACAGAUGUUUUCCUGGCUGCAGCCUCAGGAUAACUGUUCAACCACCGAACGCUUAUUCAUGUUGUUCCAUGACAAGUGUUGAAGUAGAACAUUUCUAUCGGGCUUCCUGGUACCCAGAAUGGCACGGUGUUAAAUGCAUGCUGUAGGCAACGCCCCUAGGCCCAUACAUGCCUUUCUUUGCAUCCUUUUCUUCCUGUGUUCUAAGCCUCUCUUCUUUUUUUGGUACCGGGGAUCGAACUCGGAUCCUUCCGCUUGCAAGGCAGGCGGCGGAACCACUGAGCUAAAUCCCCGGCCCCCAAGCCUGUCUUCUUUUUCUGGCAUUUAUAUUUGCUAUGAGGUGGGUCGCAUUAGCCUAUUUUAUAGGUGAGAAAACAGAGCUAGGCCUGGAAGGGAUGGUCUCUGAGGGUCUCCAUGGCUUACUCUUUCUGGAGGACCGCUAAUCCUAAUGCAAGUACCCAUGUCCUAGUCCCUGAGAAAUUCUUUCACCUUUCAAGCUGGCAGUAAAAAAACCUAUUAAGACAGGAAGAACAUUAUUAUUUAAUAGCUAUUUUGAGAUCCUGUUGUUGUUUCUGCAAGUGUGUAGCAAUAUUGUCCCAGGGAUGUUGAACUACGGAGAAAGUAGAGCACCCCAAAGAAUAAUUUGGCCAAUCUUGCUUCUUCUUUGGAGGCCUAUUUCAGAGUAUGCAAUCCUCCAGGGAGCCAGAACCAAAUUGCUUAAAAUGGAGUCAUUCUUCAGAUUAACUUCCUCAAGUAAGGUGUCAGCAGUCAGCAACAACAAACAAAACAAAGCAGAUUACCACUGGUAAAUCCCUCUUAUGUACCAUGUCAAGGGACAAUGAGUUUGCAUUUUUGCAAUGGCAGAACAUUCCUCAUUAGCAGCAGGCCUGGGUCAUGACCUCUUCCAGUUAAUUCUCCUUUACACCUUUGGGAAGGAUUGAAGAUGAGCCUUCAAGAGGGUAUUAGCAUAAUGCAUAGCCCAUACUAUGGCUGCCUUUUAAAUUAAUAAGGUUAAUUGUUCUCCAGCACACAAAUUUGUCUUUGACAUUUUAAAUGUUCCACAUUGAUCUGACAUUUCACUGUUUCAAGCUCUUAAAGGGCUUAAAUCAAAGACUAUUGAUAAUUGAGCAAACAGUGAAGGCCCACAAAUAUAAAAACACUGUCAGUUUUUCCAUGACAAACAAUCCUAGCCUUUUGAAUCCAAUGGAGGUUUUUACAUUAGGCAUCUAAGACUUAUUGAAUUAUUUCUAUUCUCAGUUAAGCUAAUUCAAGUGAAUGAACAGUAUUGACUUUUUAAACCUAUUUCACUUUUUUUAAUCUUAAGUUUAUUAGAUUUGUAGACACAGCUUUGAGCCAUGAUCAGUAAGGAAAUGUUCUGGUUUAGAAAGAGAAGAUUUUACGACAAAUUCAAGGGGUCAUCUUUGAAAAUUUUGAUGGAUUUGAGAAGAUGAAAGUGUAACCUUCAUGUCCCCAGAUUUUCCAUUAGGAAGGAUGCCAGUUGCCUAGUUUUUCACAUAAAAUAGUAGGUCAAGAAUAACAUUUUCAUAGAAAAUGCAAUCAUUGCUCGAUACAAGUAACUACAUAGCUAGAUGUGGCUCAUACAUUUUCCAAGCCUGAGGGUCCUUAAAGAUUUUUUUUACCAGCUGUUUUAAAACUACAAAUGCCAAUUUUUUUUCAUUCCCCUGCUAACAUAAAUUUAAAAGCAUAUACUUGCCAAAUUAAUUAGUAGAAUUUAUCAUAGUUUAUAUCACACUGGAAUGUUUAUGUGUAUGUUUUUAUGUAUAGUAUAUAUUUUAUAUAUAUAUAUUUCAAACUGAGUAUUCAGAAUGAAUUACGUGAGUUAAUUGGUGACUUGAAUAAGAAGUAGAUCAUAAAAUUAUAAAUAAUGGCCUUCUCAGACAGAAAAAGAGGGUAAACUUACUCAUUUUUCACUCAUGCUGUAAGACUCAUUUCAUAAUAUACAAGCUGGUCAUUGUCCACAGAGUUCCUGAAUUAAACAGCUUAUACAUAAAGGAUCUAUGCCUGAGUCCAUUUUUAACCCAAUAGGGAUGGAAUUGAAUUCAUAUGCAGAGGGUUUCCACUCACAGCUACGUUCAAACACUGUCUAAAACACAUCUGAACUGGCUUGAUCUCUUGUAUGGUGGAGCCCAAAGCAAGCUGUGUGCUCCACUCACUGGUCUUCAUUUAGGAAGAAGAUCUUCACUUACCAAUCGCAGCAAUUUAUAUCUGUCAUGUUUUAAUCCACUGCAUGAGGAAGUGCUAAUAACUGUAUUAAAUAUUUCCAAGCAUAGCUACAAAAUUACACGUUUGCUUAACACCUUUCUAUGAUAGAGGAAGUAUAUACUAUGGUUGUCUUCUUGUAGUGUGUCUUUUAAUUUUGUUCAAUGUGUUAUCAACUGUUUUAAGGAAUGGGGUUUGAAAUGUGUGUGCAAAAUGAUAUGUACAUAACUCGUGAGGCAAAAGAAGUGCCCGAUCAUAUGGUGUAAAAAUGUAAAUACAGGAAAAUUUCAUUUUUCUAAUAAAGAUAAUUUCUGCCAAUUGAUAUGAA
rnacentral:lncRNA from 1 species